rnacentral:rRNA from 1 species
CCGUAGCCCAAGAGAUCGGGAUAACACCUGGAAACAGAUGCUAAUACCGGAUAACAACAGAUGAUGCCUAUCAACUGUUUAAAAGAUGGUUCUGCUAUCACUCUUGGAUGGACCUGCGGUGCAUUAGCUAGUUGGUAGGGUAACGGCCUACCAAGGCGAUGAUGCAUAGCCGAGUUGAGAGACUGAUCGGCCACAUUGGGACUGAGACACGGCCCAAACUCCUACGGAGGCAGCAGGC